rnacentral:rRNA from 1 species
GAGUUUGAUCCUGGCUCAGGAUGAACGCUGGCGGCGUGCUUAACACAUGCAAGUCGAGCGAUGAAGUUUCCUUCGGGAAACGGAUUAGCGGCGGACGGGUGAGUAACACGUGGGUAACCUGCCUCAUAGAGUGGAAUAGCCUUCCGAAAGGAAGAUUAAUACCGCAUAACGUUGAAAGAUGGCAUCAUCAUUUAACCAAAGGAGCAAUCCGCUAUGAGAUGGACCCGCGGCGCAUUAGCUAGUUGGUGGGGUAACGGCCUACCAAGGCGACGAUGCGUAGCCGACCUGAGAGGGUGAUCGGCCACAUUGGGACUGAGACACGGCCCAGACUCCUACGGGAGGCAGCAGUGGGGAAUAUUGCACAAUGGGGGAAACCCUGAUGCAGCAACGCCGCGUGAGUGAUGAAGGUUUUCGGAUCGUAAAGCUCUGUCUUUGGGAAGAUAAUGACGGUACCCAAGGAGGAAGCCACGGCUAACUACGUGCCAGCAGCCGCGGUAAUACGUAGGUGGCGAGCGUUAUCCGGAUUUACUGGGCGUAAAGGGAGCGUACGCGGAUGAUUAAGUGGGUU